AUGAACCUAUUUCAAGAAAAACGUUUUCAUAAUAUGAAGACAUUAUUUGCAUUUUUCAUUGUGAUUCUCUCAUUGGAAUACAGUCGAAUUCCUGGUGGCUACAUCACUCUGACUAGGAAAGCUAUGCAUAUGGAACCACCUGACAGUGAAGAGACCGUGAGUAGACAUUUCCAGUUUCUUUUUUCUCAUUUCAUUGAAAUGUAAUUUAUAUUGGUGUUGUUAGGUUUGUAAACAGCAAUGUGAAUUCCUUUCCAGGAAUGUGAUAUUUAUGGUGGAAGUCAUGUCUUUUUCAAAUAUACUUAUCAACUUUUUGAACUUUUAUCAGACUUAAAAGUAAGGUACUUCCUGCUGUCAAGUUAUUAUAAUCUCUAUUUUUGAUCAGUGCAAUUUUUAACUUUUUGAAUGGUGUGAUAGCUGAGCAUUGCAAAUAGGAUUCUGGGUAAAAUUAAUAAUUAAACAUUUUAAAUGAAAGGAUUUCAUAAAGUAACUUUCUUUUUUUAUAUGAUCAAAGUGACGACUUGUUGGCAGAUGACUAUUACAUGCCCUUCAAUCUGGUGAAAUGAAUAUUUAAAGGAAAAGAGCAUAUCACGUCAUUCCAUGUCAAAUUAUACACAUUUGCUAUUUGGUUCAUUAACAUAUGGUUGUGGAAAAUAUGAGUUAUAAAUUUGUUCCUCUCUUUUUUAGAGCAGUAAAGGUAAUAACAAGUUCAUCAGUCAGAAUAGAUUCAAUUAUGCUGCUAUAACAACCAACCCUACAAAUCUCAGCCAAUGAAAUUGACAAGAUUUAUUUUUAGUUCAUAAUAUGUGAACUGCAAAGGGUAGUUUAUAGGCUUAGCUCUACAUCACUCUCAGUUAGGGACUCACUAUGAAAUUGAUUGGGUGUCUGGCUAUCCUCUCAUGAUCCUUAAGACAGAAACGUUAAAAAUAAGAAAUGACACAAGAACUUCUAAUGUUUCCACCUAUAAGUCAUACAUAUUAUUUCCAUUAUAAAUUCAUUAAACCUCAAAUGCCCUGUAUUCAAUAUUGCAAUACUAUAUACAGAAUAG
rnacentral:lncRNA from 1 species